UUGAUGGCGACCGGCGCACGGGUGAGUAACACGUAUCCAACCUGCCGAUGACUCGGGGAUAGCCUUUCGAAAGAAAGAUUAAUACCCGAUGGCAUAGUUCUUCCGCAUGGUGGAACUAUUAAAGAAUUUCGGUCAUCGAUGGGGAUGCGUUCCAUUAGGUUGUUGGCGGGGUAACGGCCCACCAAGCCUUCGAUGGAUAGGGGUUCUGAGAGGGAGGUCCCCCACAUUGGAACUGAGACACGGUCCAAACUCCUACGGGAGGCAGCAUG
rnacentral:rRNA from 1 species